rnacentral:rRNA from 1 species
AACGUAGGAGGCAAGCGUUAUCCGGAUUUACUGGGCGUAAAGGGCGUGUAGGUGGUUAGGAAAGUUGGCUGUGAAAGCUCCUGGCUCAACUGGGAGAGGUCAGUCAAAACUUCCUGACUUGAGGGUCGGAGAGGGGUGUGGAAUUCCCGGUGUAGCGGUGGAAUGCUUAGAGAUCGGGAGGAACACCAGUGGCGAAGGCGACACCUGGC